AUUGAGAGUUUGAUCCUGGCUCAGGAUGAACGCUGGCGGCGUGGAUAAGGCAUGCAAGUCGAGUGGGUUUAGGCCCACGGCAAACGGGUUAGUAACGCGUAGGAAUUUUCCCCAAAGUCGUGAAUAAUUCGGAGAAAUUCGGAAUAAUACACGAUGUGCUCUACGGAGUAAAGAUUUAUCGCUUUGGGACAAGCCUGCGUCCUAUCAGCUUGUUGGUGAGGUAAUAGCUCACCAAGGCUAUGACGGGUAGGGGGUGUGAGAGCAUGACCCCCAACAUUGGAACUGAGACACUGUCCAAACUCCUACGGGAGGCUGCAGUCGAGAAUAUUCCACAAUGGACGAAAGUCUGAUGGAGCGACGCCGCGUACAGGAUGAAGGCCCUAGGGUCGUAAACUGUUUUUAUUGAGGAACAAAUUAUUGAGCGUACUCAAUGAAUAAGGGGUUACUAACUCUGUGCCAGCAGUAGCGGUAAUACAGAGACCCCAAGCGUUAUCCGGAUUUAUUGGGCGUAAAGCGCAUGUAGGCGGAUAUACUAGUCAGAUGUCAAAUCUCCGAGCUCAACUCGGAAACUGCAUUUGAAACGGUAUAUCUAGAGAGAGUGAGAGACCAGUGGAAUUCAUGGUGUAGUAGUGAAAUGCGUUGAUAUCAUGAGGAACACCUAAUGCGAAGGCAUCUGGUUGGCACUUUUCUGACGCUGAGAUGCGAAAGCGUGGGGAGCGAAGGGGAUUAGAUACCCCCGUAGUCCACGCCGUAAACGUUGCAUACUAGAUGUUAGGAGUAUCGACCCUCCUAGUGUCGUAGCUAACGCGUUAAGUAUGCCGCCUGGGAAGUACGAGCGCAAGCUUAAAACUCAAAGGAAUAGACGGGGAUCCGCACAAGUGGUGGAGCAUGUGGUUUAAUUCGAUGGUAAGCGAGGCACCUCACCAGGGCUUGAAACUUAGCUGUGGUUUCUAGAGAUAGAAACGUCUUCGAGAACGCUAAGCAGGCGCUGCAUGGUCGUCGUCAGCUCGUGCCGUAAGGUGUUCCCUUAAGUGGGGUAACGAGCGCAACCCCUGUCGUGUGUUAUGGGAGGAAGGAGGGGAUGACGUCAGAUCAGCAUGGCCCUUUGACGCCCUGGGCGACACACGUGCUACAAUGGCCGGUACAGAGGGUUGCGAAAUCGUAAGAUGGAGCCAAUCCCAAAAAGCCGGUCCCAGUUCGGAUUGGAGUCUGCAACUCGACUCCAUGAAGCCGGAAUCACUAGUAAUCGGGAAUCAGCCAUAUCCCGGUGAAUACGUUCCCGGAUCUUGUACUCACCGCCCGUCACGUCAAGAGAGCCGGCAACACCCAAAGGUCCUGUUUCAAAGCAGGGACAACGGUGGGGCUGGUGAUAGGGACGAAGUCGUAACAAGGCAUCCGUAGCGGAAGCUGUGGAUGGAUCACCUCCUU
rnacentral:rRNA from 1 species